CAGUCGCCACGGUAAUACGUAGGGGGCGAGCGUUGUCCGAAUUUACUGGGCGUAAAGAGCAUUAAGGCGGUUUCUUAAGUGAGAGGUGAAAGGUUCAGGGCUUAACCCGAACACUGCCUUUCAUACUGGGAGACUUGAGUACGGGAGAGGCGAGUGGAAUUUCUGGUGUAGCGGUGAAAUGCGUAGAUAUCAGAAGGAACACCCAUGGCGAAGGCAGCUCGCUGGCCUGUAACCGACGCUGUAGUGCGAAAGCGUGGGGAGCAAACAGGAUUAGAUACCCCAGUAGUCCCUGUCUCUUAUA
rnacentral:rRNA from 1 species